rnacentral:tRNA from 1 species
GCCGGAAUAGCUCAGUUGGUAGAGCAGGACUUUCGUAAAGUCAAGGUCGGUGGUUCGAUUCCUCCUUCCGGCA